GUCGAGGGGCAGCAUGAACUUAGCUUGCUAAGUUUGAUGGCGACCGGCGCACGGGUGAGUAACACGUAUCCAACCUGCCGAUGACUCGGGGAUAGCCUUUCGAAAGAAAGAUUAAUACCCGAUGGCAUAGUUCUUCCGCAUGGUGGAACUAUUAAAGAAUUUCGGUCAUCGAUGGGGAUGCGUUCCAUUAGGUUGUUGGCGGGGUAACGGCCCACCAAGCCUUCGAUGGAUAGGGGUUCUGAGAGGAAGGUCCCCCACAUUGGAACUGAGACACGGUCCAAACUCCUACGGGAGGCAGCAGUGAGGAAUAUUGGUCAAUGGACGAGAGUCUGAACCAGCCAAGUAGCGUGAAGGAUGACUGCCCUAUGGGUUGUAAACUUCUUUUAUACGGGAAUAAAGUGAGGCACGUGUGCCUUUUUGUAUGUACCGUAUGAAUAAGGAUCGGCUAACUCCGUGCCAGCAGCCGCGGUAAUACGGAGGAUCCGAGCGUUAUCCGGAUUUAUUGGGUUUAAAGGGAGCGUAGGCGGACGCUUAAGUCAGUUGUGAAAGUUUGCGGCUCAACCGUAAAAUUGCAGUUGAUACUGGGUGUCUUGAGUACAGUAGAGGCAGGCGGAAUUCGUGGUGUAGCGGUGAAAUGCUUAGAUAUCACGAAGAACUCCGAUUGCGAAGGCAGCCUGCUGGACUGUAACUGACGCUGAUGCUCGAAAGUGUGGGUAUCAAACAGGAUUAGAUACCCUGGUAGUCCACACAGUAAACGAUGAAUACUCGCUGUUUGCGAUAUACAGUAAGCGGCCAAGCGAAAGCGUUAAGUAUUCCACCUGGGGAGUACGCCGGCAACGGUGAAACUCAAAGGAAUUGACGGGGGCCCGCACAAGCGGAGGAACAUGUGGUUUAAUUCGAUGAUACGCGAGGAACCUUACCCGGGCUUGAAUUGCAACUGAAUGAUGUGGAGACAUGUCAGCCGCAAGGCAGUUGUGAAGGUGCUGCAUGGUUGUCGUCAG
rnacentral:rRNA from 1 species